UACGUAGGGGGCUAGCGUUGUCCGGAAUCAUUGGGCGUAAAGCGCGCGUAGGCGGCCCGGUAAGUCCGCUCUGAAAGUCCAGGGCUCAACCCUGGAAAGCGGGUGGAUACUGCCGGGCUAGAAUCCGGAAGAGGCGAGUGGAAUUCCUGGUGUAGCGGUGGAAUGCGCAGAUAUCGGGAGGAACACCAGUGGCGAAGGCGAGUUUCUGGCCUGCAUCUGACGCUGAGGAGCGAAAGCGUGGGGAGCAAACGGG
rnacentral:rRNA from 1 species